CGGGCUUCGAGUGUGCGCAUGCGUUAAUCCGCACGAGCCUGGCCCCACCCAGCGGGCCAGGGCGCGCAUGCGCGGGAAGGCCUCCGGAAUCACUGAGGCCGUGAGGGCUCGCGGCGCCUGGAGCAACGGACCAGGACACGGGCCGGGCCUGGCCUGGCCUCCGGCACCAUGAACCCCGCCUCUUACGUCACCGUCACACAGGAAAUCCGCCUCAAGCGAGGCCCUUCAGGUACAUUUAAUUAGGGGUUGGGAUUCAAUAUUAUCGGAGGAACUGACCACCGGUACUUUUGUAAUGAUUCUGCAAUCUAUGUUACCAAAAUUAAAGAAGAUGGACCUGCAGCUCUUGAUGGACGUUUAAAGGAGCAAGACCAAAUCUUAGCAAUCAAUGGGCGAGAGCUCUGCAACUUGACUCAUCAGGAAGCAGUGGAAAUAUUUCGAAAUGCUGGUGACGAGGUGACACUACUAGUCUUAAAAAAGAUAAAAUCCAAGAAUAACCAAAUCCACAUCUCUGGUUUCUCAUCACUAGUACUGACAGCGCUGGGUAUAUCAGUGUUGGCAAUGGUUGUAUACAUGAAAUAUCGUCAUAAGUUAUAAAAAUGAAAAAAAAAUGAUGUCUUUUCCUGUAGGGCAAUAAUGUUUAAUUCCCAAUAUUUGCUGCUGGUUGAGUGGCUAGCCAGAUGUUAACUUUGACAUUUGUUAACUAUUAUAGGAUUGUAAAGGGAAUAUGUACAGAAUGGCUGAGUCAUUUAUAGACCACAGAUAAUAAGUUGCCAGUUUAUCACCUUGCAACUACUUCCUUUUAUCUCCUGGAUGUAAUUUAUUUUUGUAACAGACAAUUAAACAUCUACUAUAAAUUUUAAGACACAAACAUGAAUGACAGUGUAACCUAUGUACUUGAAAUUUUUGUAAAGACACUUGGAAGAUUCUGCAGGAGUAAUCAAUCAAGUAAGGAUUUCACAGUUAUAUGACUUGGAAAAAUUAAGUUAAAUUUUUAGAAAAUUCAAUAAACUGCAUGUGUGAUCUCUUAUACACUGGAGUGGAUAGUGUUUAGAAUCCAGAUUAAUAAUCAACAUUCAGACUGUUAAUGUCUAUCAACAGCUGCUUUUGUAAGUACUGUCCAUAAACAGUUGAGAAAUCUGUUGGCAAAUGUAAUACCUGCAUUAUUUUGUUUGGAUGAAAUCUCAUUUCUCAAAAUGUGAUUGAACUAUUUUAAAACAUACAAUAAGUAUGGACAAAAUAAUGGUAUAGUAUUUCACUUAGCAAAUUUCCAUAGUCAUUACAACAGUGUACAAUCAAAGAUACCUUUGUAAUUUUUUAACUCGGCUUUUUUAGACAAAGCACAUGAAAACAUAGACUCAACUGUUGACAGAUGCCAGUAUGAGAGUUUAUAGUAUGCUAUGUUACUUGUUUUGUUUUCUGUCAUUCUUAAUUUUCACUACAGCCUUUGUAUUAAAAUCAAAUAAUUUUUUGUAAUUUUGGGUACUAUAAGUGUCACCUAAUUGGCAAGUUUUAAUGUGAUCUUUUGUGGAAUGGGAUAUUUUUAACUUGGUUAAUUUUCGUAUAAAAGGUUUUUAUCCUUUCUAUAUUAUAUUACAAUUUAGAUGUUUUGUUGCCCUAGUAGGCUUCCUUCACACUGUUCUUAAGUACAAGUGUCGGACAAAUCCCUAAGAAACUAGUUCUGCAUAUAAACAUGAGCAUUCCAUAACUUUAAAACUAUGUGUCUCUUUCAGCAUAUAAAUGUUUAUCUGCUGGCAGUUAAUUAUAUAUGUAGUGCUUCAGAUGAUUACUCUGGUGCAGGUCCUUUGGCUGCUGGAUAUACUACCUGUCAAAUGUUGCCAUAGGCUAAUACAAUUGCUGACCCUGCUUGAGUCACAUCACUUCACCAAGCAAUGGUGAAAAUUGUGGAUAAGCCUUUGGGGCUCACUGACCUACUGUUCCAGUUGGAAGAAACUGUGAGACUUGUUGCCAACUAAUUGAAUAAUGGAAUGACUUUACUUGCCAAAUGCUAUCAGUUUUUUUGAAUAAACUGCGUAACUGCUGAAUAAUAAUUUCUGUCCUUUGUCUGCAGGUGUGACCAACAAUUAUGUGACCUCUGUUCAGACUGCCUGUGGCCCACAAAAAUGACAUGUGCUUUCUCUGUCUUUUCUUUCCCAGUCAUUUUAAUACUUAAAUGCUAGCAUUGACAGUGCACUAAUCAUUGAUUAAAGUAGAUGUGUAUUUGCGAAAUACAAAUGGCUACUUUGUGGCAGAUAACUGACAAACAGUCUCAGCAGAAGUAUACAUUCUUUUCCCUUUCCUUUUGGAGAUUCAACAAUCCUGAAAGGGAAUAAAAUAGAUAAUGUGCUUUGCUUUGUUUGAGCACUAAUCCCCUCGAGCAGGCAUGUCUGAAAAUAGGCAAAACUGAUUUAACCGUUGCCUCUUGUUGGUAAGGUAUACCGGCAUUGGUAUACCGACAUAUCAAUACUUUCCCAGCGUACAUUCACGUAAGGUGAUCACAAGCCUUCAAUCUAAUUUCUUUUGUGUGUUUUUUUCAUUUGAAGCCUAUUUUAUUACAAAUCUAUUUUUGUGUUUUUUUUAAAAAAGCAAAUAUUGUACCAAAUACAUAAUUGGGGUUGUGCUUUUAUGCUUUAUGCUUUAACCCAAAUUUAGUUGACAUGUUAGUACCACACCACCUACAGAGAUUUGUGGGAUUGUAUAUAUUAGACCAAUAGAAUGUAUAUUGCUUUGGGUUAGAGGAGAAAAUUCAAGUUAUCUUCACAUCUCUACUCAAUUCAUGUGGUUUGAAUAGCAAAUCAAAUAGCAAAGUUUUGCUUCUUAAAUUUAAAGAAAAUAUGACUUCAUUUCCACUGGAAUUCUUAAAGAACUUCAUCUGUAGUAGUGACAAGGGCUCAUGCAGAAACAUUUUCAAGUUACACCCUGCACAUCUUGUGAUAGGGUUAGAAUAUGCUGCUCAUACGUCUCUUAAGUAAAAGAGUACUUCAAUAUAAAGUGUAUCUUGGCAGUAAAUAGGGUCCUAUCUGCAGAAAUCUGAUUAUAAAUUCAAAUUAGCAUUUCAUAUAUUUGUAAGUGACCCUCUGUAUUAGCUACUAUGAACAUUUGGAGCCUAUCGUUAAAUUCUAAACCUUGACCUAAUUAAAAUGUCUUACCAUCUAGCUGAACUAUUCCCUGCUUCUGUACGGAAUCUUUUGCUAUUUAAUAAUUUGCCAACGAUGAAUGUUUAGGCAGGGAUAUAUAUGUACUAUAUAGGUUUAUAGACAUUUAUGCUCAGUAAACAUGGGACACUAAACAUUAUAGUAGCAGUACAUCCCUCAUAAUUGGUAUUAGCUUUGUUUGUUCUUGAUCCUUUUUAUUAUCCAAGAUUCUGUUAUUUUCAUUUUAUCAUAAAGCUUGUUUGUAACCCUGUAAGGUCCUCAAGAAUUGGCUUUCAAGAAUUGUUCUGAGGAUAAAAACUGUUUCAGUUGCACACAUUAAAUCGAUAACUGAAUUUGGAAAAUAAAUGUAUAAUUCUGCUAUUAAACUAAUAUACCUCACAAAAUCCAUAAUAGAUCUGCUAAAAAUAUUUAAAACUUAUAAUAAUUUUCAUGUAAAUGUCAUUUAACAGAGGUGUUUCAUCACCAAUUUAAUCCUCAAUUUGUGUGAACUCAAGGGAUUAGUAAAUGCCACAUAAAUGGCAAUUUAUGUUUCACCACUGUACCUUCCAAUAUUGUGCUAAUAUAGGCUAUACAUUGGUAUGAAAAUCUUCAUUUGGUGCACCAAAUCAUUGAUAACUUUAACUCAAAUGUAGAUGUUUCUUUCAUGCUACCGUUGCUGCAUCUGUACACAUCAACUGUGCUGAAACUGUUUUCCUAGACCCAGUGCCUACAGUUGGACAAAUGCCACAUGUGUCCUUUUAGUAAUGAAGAAUUUUCUGUUUAACGAUGUUUUAAUAUCUGUUUCAAUAUAAUAACUUUUUCUUUGAGGGUAAAAAUAAACUGCCAGAAUUGACCAUUUUAAUGGGUGUGCAAUCAAUGGUCAUUUCCAUCCUAGAGUUUGAUUUUUACAUAGUAACUUGGUUGGCCUGAAAUGCUGCUAAAUAACUUUAAAAACUGUAUAAUGAUUCAAAAAAUAGUCUUUUAUGACUAAGCUAAUGUUAAUGAGCAUGUUAUGAAGGUCUAAUCUGUCACUACAGUUUAAGUAGUUGCUUGAUGAAAAUUGUGACUGCUGUAAAAUAAAUGUCCACAUUCAAAUUUAUUUAUAUACAAUUCCUGUACAAGAAAUGUCUGAAAUAGAACUUAUUGUAAUGCUAUUCAUAAAGCGACUUGUUAAAUAUUGACUUUUUUUUCAAAC